rnacentral:rRNA from 1 species
GACGAACGCUGGCGGCGUGCCUAAUACAUGCAAGUUGAGCGCACAAGGUUGGUGCUUGUUCCUCCUAGGUGAGCAGCGGACGGGUGAGUAACGCGUGGAUAAUCUGCCUUUGAGCCGGGGACAACUUCUGGAAACGAAUGCUAAUACCGCAUAAUAUCUUUAAACACAUGUUUCAAGAUUGAAAGAUGCAAUUGCUGUACCCAAUGGUUAUCCCGCGUUGUCUUAGCUAAUUGGUGAGGUAAAGGCUUUCCAAAGCGAAGAUACAUAACCGACCUUAGCAGGUGAUUCGCCAACUUUGGAAUGAGACCAGGCCCAAACUCCUACGGGAGGCAGCAGUAGGGAAUCUUCGGCAAUGGACGAAAGUCUGACCGGGCAACGCCGCGUGAGUGAAGAAGGUUCUCGGAUCGUAAAACUCUGUUUGUAGAGAAGAACGUUGGUGAGAGUGGAAAGCGCAUCAAGUGACGGUAACUACCCAGAAAGGGACGGCUAACUACGUG